rnacentral:rRNA from 1 species
UCCAGACUCCUACGGGAGGCAGCAGUGGGGAAUAUUGCACAAUGGGGGAAACCCUGAUGCAGCGACGCCGCGUGAGUGAAGAAGUAUUUCGGUAUGUAAAGCUCUCUCAGCAGGGAAGAAAAUGACGGUACCUGACUAAGAAGCCCCGGCUAACUACGUGCCAGCAGCCGCGGUAAUACGUAGGGGGCAAGCGUUAUCCGGAUUUACUGGGUGUAAAGGGAGCGUAGACGGCAUGGCAAGUCAGAUGUGAAAGCCCGGGGCUCAACCCCGGGACUGCAUUUGAAACUGUCAGGCUGGAGUGCAGGAGAGGUAAGUGGAAUUCCUAGUGUAGCGGUGAAAUGCGUAGAUAUUAGGAGGAACACCAGUGGCGAAGGCGGCUUACUGGACUGUAACUGACGUUGAGGCUCGAAAGCGUGGGGAGCAAACAGGAUUAGAUACCCCGUACC